rnacentral:rRNA from 1 species
UACAGAGGUCCCAAGCGUUGUUCGGAUUCACUGGGCGUAAAGGGUGCGCAGGUGGUCGGGUAAGUCUGAUGUGAAAUCCCGCAGCUUAACUGCGGAAUGGCAUUGGAUACUAUUUGGCUAGAGGGUUGGAGGGGGGACUGGAAUUCUCGGUGUAGCAGUGAAAUGCGUAGAUAUCGAGAGGAACACCAGUGGCGAAGGCGAGUCCCUGGACAACUCCUGACGCUGAGGCACGAAAGCCAGGGGAGCAAACGGG